rnacentral:lncRNA from 1 species
GGGAGUGAGCCAUGCAGAGAUGUUAAAGCAAAGUGAUUCUAGGCAAAGGAAACAUCCAGUAUAAAACCCCUGAAGCAGGAGUAUGCCCAGCUUGUUUGAAGAGCUCAGUGUGCUGGAGUAAAGUAACAGUGAGAUGAGGUGAAAUGAGUACCAGGGCGAGGUGGUGCAGGGCCUUGUAGGCCAUUGUUAAGACUUUGAAGGGUUUCCCUCAAAGCGUUGACAUAACUGCAUUGUUUUUAUAUGAGGAUCGUUCCAGCUGCUGCACUGAGAAGUGACUGAGGGGGCACAGAGACAAAGUAGAGAGACCAGUUAUGAGGCAAAGAUCCAGAUGGGUCUUUGCAGAGACCAGAUUUGACUUCUGCUUCAUGAGAAAAUUUGAAAAUAUUUCUUUUAACAGGCAGGAGAAACAAUUUCUUGGCUGUUUUGACAAGUCUGAGAUGUUUAAGGAGUUACUGGCUGGAACUCGACACUGAUUAUCCUAAAGGAUUUCUAAGGGUUCAAAAAAGUGGAAGAAGAUUGGCUUUCAUCACUUCUGCAAGGAGUUUAUUUUAAAAAUCAGCAGAGUAGUUACUCCUUGCUAACCACCAGGAAUUCUGGGAAAUUCUCUAAGCAACCAUUUGUUUAUAUUGAACAAGUCAAAUUCCCACGAAGUGAAUGGAAAUUGAUUCUCCUUUCGACAUCUGUAUUUCUACCAGUAGCACCAGUCUUCUAGUCAUUCCAUUAUACAAUUUUUGGACUCAUUAUUGACUUUCUCUCCUCAAGACUUGUGCUUUGUGUGUUUAUAUCUCUUGAUAGUGUAUUUUAUACAGAGUGACUUUUAAAUGUUGACUGAUAAUGAUAUACUAAUAUGUUUAAAAUAACUCAUAAUUAGUUUUCUCGAUAUUGAGAGAAAUAUUAUAAAAUCUAAAAAGAAGUUUGAGACCAACAAUUUGUUUUGACACAGUAUGUUUUACUUGGACUGGCGUAUUUCUUGUUUGCCUUACCUAGUUUUUCCAUGUUAGGUCUCCAAACUUCUCUUCAGAGUUUGUCACAGGACCAUGUCUCUCUUCCUCUACACUCUCCAUUUUGUCAUCAUUCUUAUAAAAUUUGCCCAUCCUUCUAAAUUACUUAGUUCAGUUAAUGUUGUUGCCAUGCAUUUAAUUAUUCGUAAUAGAAAACAUAGAGUCAUUUUCAAAACACUUUUUCUGUCACCUGUAAUAUAUCAACUUGGUCACCAAGUAGAAUUGAUUUGAUCUCCAAUACAGCUCUAGAAUCUCUCUCUUCCAAUCUCUCUACUGCCUCUGCCUUAGUAAUUCAGGACCUCAUCACCUCUUAUUUAAACACAAGAAAAAGCAAAAAAAUGUGCUGA